AGUAUAACUUGUUUUUAAUGUGGUAUUUUGACUGAUUUAGAUCCACUAAAUCGUAGAGAAUCGAAUUAGCUUUCCAAUGAUACCAAUUUCGCCUUAAUCCAAUAGCCGAGUGAAAAGUUAUGCCCAUUUUCGUAAGAGACAGUAAGGAUAGGCGAUUGGUUAGGCACCGCCUAACCAAACAUAGGCGAUUGGUUAGGUGCCGCCCAGCCUAGCUUAGGCAAUCACU
rnacentral:lncRNA from 1 species